rnacentral:rRNA from 1 species
UUCCAGACUCCUACGGGAGGCAGCAGUGGGGAAUAUUGCACAAUGGGGGAAACCCUGAUGCAGCAACGCCGCGUGAGUGAAGAAGUAUUUCGGUAUGUAAAGCUCUAUCAGCAGGGAAGAAGAAGGACGGUACCUGACUAAGAAGCCCCGGCUAACUACGUGCCAGCAGCCGCGGUAAUACGUAGGGGGCGAGCGUUAUCCGGAUUUACUGGGUGUAAAGGGGGCGCAGACGGCGAUGCAAGCCAGGAGUGAAAGCCCGGGGCCCAACCCCGGGACUGCUCUUGGAACUGCGUGGCUGGAGUGCAGGAGGGGCAGGCGGAAUUCCUGGUGUAGCGGUGAAAUGCGUAGAUAUCAGGAGGAACACCGGUGGCGAAGGCGGCCUGCUGGACUGCAACUGACGUUGAGGCCCGAAAGCGUGAGGAGCAAACAGGAUUAGAUACCCCCGUAC